UUUGAUUCUAUUGAAAACAACAGUAUAAGGAAAUAAGAAUGUGGCAUAUUUCCAAACAGCUGGAGUUUGGAAAAUAUUUCCUGUUGAUGGUAUCUAAGAGAACCUUCACUCAGUGCCAACUGGACAAAGGAAUUCUUGAGAUAGCCUUCAAGUGCUUCUUAGGACUGCAGUGCCUAGACAAGCUGACUCUGACCAGUGGUUUCAGGCUCAGCUAUACGUAGGCCUCAGCAGCUUGUAACAGUUUCCAUCUCCAGGCCACACCCCAGG